CAAACACACGCCGCGUGUAUAUGCAUGUGUGUGUAUAUAUAGAUAUAUAUAUAUAUAUAUUUAUAUAUAUCUAUAUAUAUAUACACACACACACACAUACAUACAUACACUGCUGUGUGUGUCUG
rnacentral:miRNA from 1 species